GCAAAACAUGGCAAACGCAAAAAUCUGCCCUCCGAAGGCAAAGGUCACACGUUCGAAUCGUGUCGGGUGCGCCA
rnacentral:tRNA from 1 species